AGGGCACCACCAGGAGUGGAGCCUGCGGCUUAAUUUGACUCAACACGGGAAAACUCACCCGGCCCGGUCACUGGAAGGAUUGACAGAUUGAGAGCUCUAUCUUGAUUCAGUGGGUGGUGGUGCAUGGCCGUUCUUAGUUGGUGGAGCGAUAUGUCUGGUUAAUUCCGAUAACGAACGAGACUCUAGCCUACUAAAUAGAUCGUCGGCUUACAAACGCUGAUGAGACUUCUUAGAGGGACAGGCGGCGAUUCAGCCGCACGAAACAGAGCAAUAACAGGUCUGUGAUGCCCUUAGAUGUCCGGGGCCGCACGCGCGCUACACUGAAGUGAUCGGCGUGCAUUUUCAGCCUACUCUGCCAAGAGUGGGAAACCCAAUGAACCUUCUUCGUGAUUGGGAUAGGAGAUUGUAAUUAUUCUCCUUGAACGAGGAAUUCCCAGUAAGCGCGAGUCAUAAGCUCGCGUUGAUUACGUCCCUGCCCUUUGUACACACCGCCCGUCGCUACUACCGAUUGAAUGUUUU
rnacentral:rRNA from 1 species